rnacentral:rRNA from 1 species
ACGACCGGCGCACGGGUGAGUAACACGUAUGCAACCUGCCUAAUACAGGGGGAUAGCCCGUUGAAAGACGGAUUAAUACCGCAUAAUACAUUAAAAUCGCAUGAUUUUAAUGUUAAAGAUUAUUGGUAAUAGAUGGGCAUGCGUUUCAUUAGCUAGUUGGUAAGGUAACGGCUUACCAAGGCAACGAUGAAUAGGGGAACUGAGAGGUUUAUCCCCCACACUGGUACUGAGACACGGACCAG